GGAUGAGUGGCGAACGGGUGAGUAACACGUGGGGAAUCUGCCUAGGAGUGGGGGAUAACAUUCGGAAACGGAUGCUAAUACCGCAUAUCUUCUUAGACCGCAUGGUCUAUGAAUGAAAGACGGCUUUGCUGUCGCUCUUAGAUGAUCCCGCGGCGUAUUAGUUAGUUGGUGGGGUAAAGGCCUACCAAGACAAUGAUACGUAGCCGACCUGAGAGGGUGAUCGGCCACACUGGGACUGAGACGCGGCCCAGACUCCUACGGGAGGCAGCAGUAGGGAAUCUUCCACAAUGGGUGCAAACCUGAUGGAGCAAUGCCGCGUGAAUGAAGAAGGUCUUCGGAUCGUAAAGUUCUGUUAUUAGUGAAGAACAAAUCGAGGAGUAACUGUCUCGAUUUUGACGGUAACUAACCAGAAAGUCACGGCUAACUACGUGCCAGCAGCCGCGGUAAUACGUAGGUGACAAGCGUUGUCCGGAAUUAUUGGGCGUAAAGGGAGCGCAGGCGGUUGGAAUAGUCUGAUGUGAAAGCCCUCGGCUUAACCGUGGAAGGUCAUUGGAAACUGUCCAACUUGAAUGCAGAAGAGGUAAGUGGAAUUCCAUGUGUAGCGGUGAAAUGCGUAGAUAUAUGGAGGAACACCAGUGGCGAAGGCGACUUACUGGUCUGUGAUUGACGCUGAGGCUCGAAAGCGUGGGUAGCGAACAGGAUUAGAUACCCUAGUAGUCCACGCCGUAAACGAUGAAUACUAAGUGUUGGAGAAAUUCAGUGCUACAGU
rnacentral:rRNA from 1 species